GAGUGACAUGAUGCUUUACCAUCUUUCGGGACUGACCUUAACUGGAGAUAUCUUUUCUAACUGAUCACUC